rnacentral:tRNA from 1 species
CGGGAUGUAGCGCAGUUCGGUAGCGCACUUCGUUCGGGACGAAGGGGUCGCUGGUUCGAAUCCAGUCAUCCCGACCA